rnacentral:rRNA from 1 species
CGCGUAGGUGGUUUGUUAAGUUGGAUGUGAAAGCCCCGGGCUCAACCUGGGAACUGCAUCCAAAACUGGCAAGCUAGAGUACGGUAGAGGGUGGUGGAAUUUCCUGUGUAGCGGUGGAAUGCGUAGAUAUCAGGAAGAACACCGAUGGCGAAGGCAGUCGGCUGGGGACUUACUGACGCUGAGGCUCGAAAGCGCGGGUAGCAAACA